GACGAACGCUGGCGGCGUGCUUAACACAUGCAAGUCGAGCGGAAAGGCCCUGCUUUUGCGGGGUGCUCGAGUGGCGAAAGGGUGAGUAACACGUGAGUAACCUGCCCUUGACUUUGGGAUUACUUCAGGAAACUGGGGCUAAUACCGGAUAGGAGCUCCUGCUGCAUGGUGGGGGUUGGAAAGUUUCGGCGGUUGGGGAUGGACUCGCGGCUUAUCAGCUUGUUGGUGGGGUAGUGGCUUACCAAGGCUUUGACGGGUAGCCGGCCUGAGAGGGUGACCGGCCACAUUGGGACUGAGAUACGGCCCAGACUCCUACGGGAGGCAGCAGUGGGGAAUAUUGCACAAUGGGCGGAAGCCUGAUGCAGCAACGCCGCGUGCGGGAUGACGGCCUUCGGGUUGUAAACCGCUUUCGCCUGUGACGAAGCGUGAGUGACGGUAAUGGGUAAAGAAGCACCGGCUAACUACGUG
rnacentral:rRNA from 1 species